rnacentral:lncRNA from 1 species
CUCCUGAGAGUGAGUUUCUUAAAUUGUAUUCAUAUGACAUAUAGCUUUCUCGAAAUGUUUAUCCAUUAGUGUCAUCUAUCAUUCUUUCCUUUUACUGCUUAAGCUCUGAUUAAAGUACUGCUAUCAUGUUCAUGGUGCUUCCUUAGUUGCUCCUUAUAAAAAUGGAAAAGGAAGUUAUUAAUUUUAGUUUCUUAUCAUUCCCAAAGACAUCUUUUUUACAAUAGCACGUUGAUACUGCGAUUUUAGAGGAUUAGUUGGGGACUUUGGGUUGCUGUUAUACUGAAUUGAUUUGGAAGGGAAAUGAUCUCACCCCAAAAUUACCAAUGGUAUUGCACUGUCUGAAUAGGUUGGUAAAUACAAAGUUUAGAGUUGGAUGAUUGAAUAUCAAUAACAAGGUUAAAUUUGAAGAUAAUUAUAGCCUAAUAUAUUUCCUUUUCUGAAUGGCAUUGACCCUAAAUAUCUCAGUAGAUGUGUAAGUUUACACUGUGUAUAUACCUUCCUGCUUAAUGUCACUCCUGUAGUUUAAUUUUAUUUUGUUAACAUCCUAGGACUUAUCUGGAAGUUGAAGAAAACUUUAGAUCCAGAGAUUUCUGAAUAAGAAAUGACCUGGUGAAUUAGUAGGCAGAUUAAAAUGAAAAGAGAGGCAAUUCUUGUGGUAACGGUGGCAAAAUUCGAGCAGCCUAAACCUUGACAAUGGCAUUUUUCUACAAUCCCGACUGAUGGAUCUUGUCACAGGACGAUUCGUAAGCAAGUUGUCUGCCUUAGCAGGGCUCUUUCCUUGAUUGAAUGACUUAUGAUGAACAAGUAGAACUCAUUGAAAGGAAUUCCAGACCUUAGACUUGUUAAAUGAUAGUCUUAAACCUCUGAAAUAUUGGAAUAAAUUCUGACUUAAUUUUAUUAUUACCAAUCUGCCUCUUUAAUAGAGGUUAUAUAAGUUUACUUAUUUGAAUAAAAGACAUAUAAGCUAAGAAACUCUAAAUAAAAAAAGACUCCAAAUACCAUAUAGUUUUAAUUAAAGAAAAUCUCUAAUAAAAAUAACAAUUAACGUCUUCAAUACCAAGAUACUAAUUGACGUCUAACAGACUCACAAUAGAG